UAACUAUAAACGAUGUCAACGAAGGAUUGGAUAAAUUUGAAGACUGAUAAGUUCCAUCAGCAUUGCUGGAGGGAGUUAGAAGUCGAAUACACCUUAUUCAGAACUUGAAGAGAAAUCUUGAGUGAAUGGACUUCAGGGGGAGUAUGGUCACAAGGCUGAAACUUAAAGGAAUUGACGGAAGGGCACACAAGGAGUGGAGCCUGCGGCUUAAUUUGACUCAACACGG
rnacentral:rRNA from 1 species